UCCACUCACUGUAAUGACGACACACAAUUCUGCUUCAUAUAGCCAUAAAUGGCUGGCACCUCAGCCUAUGGCAGAAGGGGAUAGCGUUGGGUCUGAGCUACGAUAGACUGGUGAAAAUCUGGACAUAUUCAGCCCCUCCUCUUCCAUUCCAUCGCCAUGGCGGAGUUUAGCGAGUCGCAGCUGUCGCUGGUCGCCGGCGCCCCUCGGCGCCAACAAGGACGGGCGCAAUUCUCCUUCGAUGCCUUGAAGAUGUUUCUUUAUUAGUAACCCAAGGUACGUAGAAAUAUAGAGAACACAACGUGGUGUCAGAAGUCGGUCUGGAAGAAUAAUGCGUUUCCUAACACGAUAUAAAGGAACAUAAGAAAAAAAGUGUUCGAACUGUUUUGGUGUUCGCUAACAGUUUUACAAAUGGAAGGUUUUCAACCUCCACCGACACUUCAGUUGUCUGGGAACGUAGCUGAGAGCUGGAGAAGAUUUAAGCAACGUUUUGAAAUGUAUUUAUCGGCAAUAUAAGCUGACCGAAAACCUGAAAAAAACAGACGCUGAUCUUCUACUCCACCUCAUAGAUGGCGACGCAAAUGAGGAAAGGAAGAUGUGGUGAUAUGACGUUUCAAAACCUGUUUGGAAAGAGUUCUGAGCAUGCGCAGAAAUGAUAGAAUGAUCUUGAACAUGGUACUGUAAGAACCGUGAAUUAAUUGUUG